rnacentral:rRNA from 1 species
UACGGGAGGCAGCAGUAGGGAAUAUUGCNCAAUGGGGGAAACCCUGAUNCAGCGACGCCGCGUGAGUGAAGAAGUAUUUCGGUACGUAAAGCUCUAUCAGCAGGGAAGAUAAUGAUCGGUAGCCUGACUAAGAAGCCCCGGCUAACUACGUGCCAGCAGCCGCGGUAAU